UACGUAGGGUGCAAGCGUUGUCCGGAAUUAUUGGGCGUAAAGAGCUCGUAGGCGGUUUGUCGCGUCUGCUGUGAAAACUCGGGGCUUAACUCCGGGCCUGCAGUGGGUACGGGCAGACUAGAGUGCGGUAGGGGAGACUGGAAUUCCUGGUGUAGCGGUGAAAUGCGCAGAUAUCAGGAGGAACACCAGUGGCGAAGGCGGGUCUCUGGGCCGGAACUGACGCUGAGGAGCGAAAGCGUGGGGAGCGAACAGG
rnacentral:rRNA from 1 species